AGACUCCAUGAGGCUUCCCAACGUUCUCCAUCGGAUAGAGAACAGAGAUCUCAUGCAUAAUUUAUCAAUCUUUGUUCUGCUAUCCGAUGGAUGAAGAAGGCACAGUUGAUAAGGCCCAUCACUAAUAAUAAAGCAUGUUUCAGAUACAAAAUUUUCCGUUAACUUCCUGGGGUCAUUGCAAAGAAGCGAUAGAAGGAGUCUUUACACUUGCGCUUUGUAGAAGUGAAUCAUUGCCCCACCUUUAAAGUCACAUGAACCAAAAGAUUUUUCCUUCUUUCUGUUAGUAACUAUAUAAAGAAAACAAGGCAUAUCCCCAAAUCGGCAAAU